CUUGCCGAGAAAAGCGAUUAUAGCAGCCAGUACCGCAAACCGACACAGGUAGACGGGAUGAGUAUUCUAAGGCGCUCGGGUGAGCCGUGGAGAAGGAACUAGGCAAAUUGACGCUGUAACUUCGGGAUAAAGCGUACCAUCUUCGGAUGGUCUCAGUAAAAUGGUUCAACCAACUGUUUAACAAAAACACAGGGCCCUGCAAAAUCGAAAGAUGACGUAUAGAGCCUGAUACCUGCCCGGUGCCGGAAGGUUAAGGAAGGAUGUUCGGGGGUAACCCCAAAGCUUCUGACUGAAGCCCCGGUAAACGGCGGCCGUAACAAUAACGGUCCUAAGGUAGCGAAAUUCCUUGUCGGGUAAGUUCCGACCUGCACGAAUGGUCUAAUGAGUUGAACACUGUCUCCUCCACGAGCCCGGUGAAAUUGUAGUAUCGGUGAAGAUGCCGGUUACCCGCCGCGGGACGGAAAGACCCCGUGAACCUUCACUACAACUUUGCAUUGAUUUUGAGCAACAAAUGUGUAGGAUAGUUGGGAGACUUUGAAGCUGCCUCGCCAGGGGCGGUGGAGUCAACGUUGAAAUACCAACCUUUUGUUGCUUAGAACCUAACCCAUAACUGGGGACAUUGCAUGGUGGGUAGUUUGACUGGGGUGGUCGCCUCCUAAAAAGUAACGGAGGCUUGCAAAGGUACCCUCAGUACGGUUGGUAAUCGUACGAAGAGCGCAUUAGUAAAAGGGUGCUUGACUGUGAGACAAACAAGUCGAGCAGGAGCGAAAGCUGGCUAAAGUGAUCCGGCGGUUCUGCAUGGAAGGGCCGUCGCUCAAAGGAUAAAAGGUACUCCGGGGAUAACAGGCUGAUCUUACCCAAGAGCUCAUAUCGACGGUAAGGUUUGGCACCUCGAUGUCGGUUCGUCACAUCCUGGGGCUGGAGAAGGUCCCAAGGGUUCGGCUGUUCGCCGAUUAAAGUGGCACGUGAACUGGGUUCAGAACGUCGCAAGACAGUUCGGUCCCUAUCUGUGGUGGGCGCUAGUAAAUUGAGAGGACAUGACCUUAGUACGAGAGGACCGGGUCGUAUGUACCGCUGGUGUAUCUGUUGUGCCGCCAGGUGCAAUGCAGAGUAGCUAUGUACAGCCAGGAUAAACGCUGAAAGCAUCUAAGCGUGAAACCUUCCUUAAGAUGAGUUUACUUUUAAGGGUCGUCAAAGACUAUGACGUUGAUAGGCUACAGGUGUAAAGUUGGUAACAACACAGCCGAGUAGUACUAAUUACCCGUAAGCUUUAAUCA
rnacentral:rRNA from 1 species